rnacentral:rRNA from 1 species
ACCUAUGCCUACCCAAAAGAUACCAGAUCCCAUCUGAUUUUGGAAGCUAUGUUAGGUCUUCCCCGAUUAGUACUUGGAUGGGAGAACACCAAGGAAUACCAGGUGCUAUAGGUU